UACAAAUAAAUAUCCUGACCGUAGACAGUUGGCGUGCGCUUGCACUUAAAUUUGCCACCCGAGGAUUAACGAUUGCUUUUUCGCUCCGGCGAAUUAGCGAAAACCUCUGUGUCUACGGUUCACAGAGGUUUUUAUUUGCUCCG
rfam:Listeria grayi DSM 20601 genomic scaffold SCAFFOLD2, whole genome shotgun sequence.